UAAAAGAGGUAUAUCUGGAAUGUGGUAAGGCUUUUGAUACUGUUUCGCAUGACCUUUCCAUAAACAAACUAGCGAAAUACAACCUAGAUGGAGCUACUGUA